GCGUGAGCGGCGAGACGUUGCCGCCGAGAUCCGACACGGUCAGCAGGGCGAGUUCGCGCGAGGACUGUCGGGUCGCAUCCGGCUCGCACGAUCCGCUCGCGUGGUCCGCGGGCACAGCCUGGAGGCCGGUCCGGACGACGUCGAUCCGCGCGAGCACGGCCUCGGCCGGCGCACCGGCGCGAACGGCAUCGGCAACGGAGGCGAUGAGGGUGAGAAGGUCGGCGCUCAUCGGAUCACCCCGAGAUGCGCGGGCCGGCGGACCACGUCGGAGCAGGCGUCGGAGGGCCGGACGUCGCGAACGGCAGAGGCCCCGAACGGGCUGCCGCAGACGACGCCGCGCCGGCACGUGCCGGUGAGGUCGCGGCCGACGAAGGCGGUGGCGUAGGCGUCGAGCUCGCUGCAGCGCAGGGGCGCGUAGCCGCGGAUCACCACAUCCCUGAAGCCGUAGCGCUCGGCGGUGUUGCGGGCGCCGUCGGGAUCGCUGCCGCAGGCUGACAGCGGCAGCAGGAGCGCGAGGCCGGCCACGGCGCCGACGGUAGGGCUCGAAAUAGCUGUGGCCUUCAGGCUGCCAAUGAAAGCAUCCCGG
rnacentral:tRNA from 1 species